rnacentral:rRNA from 1 species
ACCGGCUAACUACGUGCCGGCAGCCGCGAUAAUACGUAGGGUGCGAGCGGUAAUCGGAAUUACUGGGCGUAAAGCGUGCCCAGACGGUUACUUAAGCAGGAUGUGAAAUCCCCGGGCUCAACCUUGGAACUGCGUUCUGAACUGGGUGACUAGAGUGUGUCAGAGGGAGGUAGAAUUCCACGUGUAGCAGUGAAAUGCGUAGAGAUGUGGAGGAAUACCGAUGGCGAAGGCAGCCUCCUGGGAUAACACUGACGUUCAUGCCCGAAAGCGUGGGUAGCAAACAGGAUUAGAUACCCUGGUAGUCCACGCCCUAAACGAUGUCGAUUAGCUGUUGGGCAGCUUGACUGCUUAGUAGCGAAGCUAACGCGUGAAAUCGACCGCCUGGGGAGUACGGUCGCAAGAUUAAAACUCAAAGGAAUUGACGGGGACCCGCACAAGCGGUGGAUGAUGUGGAUUAAUUCGAUGCAACGCGAAGAACCUUACCUGGUCUUGACAUGUACGGAACCCUCCAGAGACGGAGGGGUGCCUUCGGGAGCCGUAACACAGGUGCUGCAUGGCUGUCGUCAGCUCGUGUCGUGAGAUGUUGGGUUAAGUCCCGCAACGAGCGCAACCCUUGUCAUUAGUUGCCAUCAUUAAGUUGGGCACUCUAAUGAGACUGCCGGUGACAAGCCGGAGGAAGGUGGGGAUGACGUCAAGUCCUCAUGGCCCUUAUGACCAGGGCUUCACACGUCAUACAAUGGUCGGUACAGAGGGUAGCCAAGCCGCGAGGUGGAGCCAAUCUCACAAAACCGAUCGUAGUCCGGAUUGCACUCUGCAACUCGAGUGCAUGAAGUCGGAAUCGCUAGUAAUCGCAGGUCAGCAUACUGCGGUGAAUACGUUCCCGGGUCUUGUACACACCGCCCGUCACACCAUGGGAGUGGGGGAUACCAGAAGUAGGUAGG